rnacentral:lncRNA from 1 species
CAGCUCGUUACAAAAAGAGCUAGGACCCCAGACCACAUCGAAGCUUCAUGAGACCUCUCCUUGUCUGUGCACAGACGGGUGGCCAACUCUGGAGCCCAGGCUGUUGCUUCCCGGUCUGGCAGUGAAUCCUCCAUAGCCUGCUUACCUUGAGGACCUGCACUUCAAGCUACAGAUCGGAAGUGGAAUCUUUCAACAGGAAAUACGCAAGGACCCUCCAAGGACUCUGUCCUCAGCCACUGAGAUGUGGGGAGUGGGCUCGGGACACAGGCUGCCCAGGUCUUCUGCCCCCAUCACCACGAAGGGACGCAGUGGACCAAGCCACGCCUUCCUGGAUUCUUAGCCCAGACAUAGUUCUGAACGACAGAACUAAGAACAGCCUCAUCAGACUAAGCCACUAAGCAGACCAAACGCAGAGACCUCACGCUGACUUCAAUGUUCUAUUUGGGCUUGGGGGGCGGGAGGAUCCUCUGUGGGUGUUUUGUUUGUUUUGGUUCUUUUGUUUUUUGUUUUGGAGACAGGGUCUUACUCUGUCCCCAGGGCUGGAGUGCAGUGGUGCCAUCUUGGCUCCCUGUAUCUUCUGCCUCCUGGGCUCAAGUGAUCCUCCCACUGCAGCUCCACCACGCCUGGCUAAUUUUUCCUUUUUUUUUUUUUGGUAGAGCUGGGGUUUCGCCAUGUUGCCCAGGCUGCUCUCGAACUCCUGGACUCGAGGAAUCUUCCCGCCUCUGCCUCCCAAAGUGCUGGGAUUAUGGAUGUGAGCCACCCUGCCCAGCCUCGAUGUUCUAUUUGUUAUGAGCUUGCAGUCAGCCUCUUCUUAAUCUUAAAUCCAUGGUUUAAAAGUUCUACUUGUAGAAACUGGAUAAAAUAAAAUAUUUCAAAAAUGGU